UUUUAGGGAUCAAAAUCACCCAUUAAUUUAGAAAGGACAAUAUUUGUUACAAUUCAAAUAAGUUGAAAGUAUACAACGGGUGGGUUAAGUAGCUAUUAUCGCAGGAAAAUGUUAUAUACCUCUCGUCAUAAUUGUGGUGGAAAGCCACCAAGGACAUUUUAGUCUGUUCAACUGUUCAAAGUAAACUUUAGGAACAAAAUUUAAAUUUUAAGCAAUUCAAACUUGUCCUAACAUAUCGAUAAACAAAACAAUUGAUCCAAAUAAUCAUCUUGCACCAGAUACUUAAAAAUCUCGGCAAAGCUCUAUUAAAGUUGGUUGAAAUACCAAAUUAAUUUUAAAAUGGUUUAUAAUCACAGACACCAAGCAAUGAAUUUAAUAAACUUAGGACCUUUUUCGUAAUUGGAAGGUGGAAGUUAACUAGAAACUGGAAGUCCUGUCAAUUACUAUGUUAAUUAGCAUGUCUAGAAUAUUAAGGAAUCCUAAGAAUCUGUGUUUGAUUGAGCACAGAACUCUGGAAAUCUAGAGAUCUUUGCCAGUUAUAACUGUUUUUUCAUUUUUCUACUAAUGCAAGGCUGAUAUGUCUUCAACGAAGGAGAUUUUUAAGACACUCGUCAUUCUCAGCAAGUCUAACAAAAUGCGUGGUUCAAAUUAAGUAUAUAAAGAGCCGGUUAUGCUUUCUCUCUCUCUCAAUCUGCUUCAAUAACAUUUAACCAGAAUGAUCUCAUAUGAAAACUGCAUUACUCAAGUAGCUAUUACAAAUAUUUCAUGACUCCAUUAACAAUCCCAUACCAAAUAACCCUUCAUAAUUAUGAUUAAAGAUAAGACAUUUGAGGUUUUUGACAUUACUGUACAAGGUCCUAAAGAAUUUGUGCUUGCUAUUUAGCCUGUCAGAAUCAUUCAAUUCUCCAAAUUUAGUUCUCAUGGUCUCAGUCAUCCAUUGCAAUGCAUUCUUUUUGAAGCAUGAACCUCUCUUGACCACUUUUACCAUGAGAUUAAUGAAGAAUUCCUCCUCAAUUAGGGAAUUCUUCUACCACUUUCUGCUUUAUUUGCUCUAUUUCCCAUGUUUGCAUGUGUAGUUAUGGACGACAAGUGAGACAUCACAUUAGCAACUCCUAAUUUAAAAUAAGAUGGAAAAAGAUGAUGGAAAACACAUGAUAAUUUCAAACAGAGAAAUUUAAGUUACAUUACUUUUUUAGCAUACAAAAACACGAUAUUUUUUGAACUGGGAAAUUUAAGUUACAUUACAUUAUGUCUUGAAUUCCUGGACAUUACAUUUUUACAUCAGCCGAGAAACUGCAAUCUGAACAUUCUUAGCACACAACAAUCCCCAAAAGCCUCAGAAACCCCACAAAUUUGUGAGCAUAAUUUAGUGCUCACCAAAUUUUAGCCUCCUUUGAAAUCAAGCCAAACCGAUAUAUG
rnacentral:lncRNA from 1 species